UGGUUGUAAAGCACUUUAAGCGAGGAGGAGGCUACCUAGAUUAAUACUUUAGGAUAGUGGACGUUACUCGCAGAAUAAGCACCGGCUAACUCUGUGCCAGCAGCCGCGGUAAUACAGAGGGUGCGAGCGUUAAUCGGAUUUACUGGGCGUAAAGCGUGCGUAGGCGGCCAAUUAAGUCAAAUGUGAAAUCCCCGAGCUUAACUUGGGAAUUGCAUUCGAUACUGGUUGGCUAGAGUAUGGGAGAGGAUGGUAGAAUUCCAGGUGUAGCGGUGAAAUGCGUAGAGAUCUGGAGGAAUACCGAUGGCGAAGGCAGCCAUCUGGCCUAAUACUGACGCUGAGGUACGAAAGCAUGGGGAGCAAACAGGAUUAGAUACCCUGGUAGUCCAUGCCGUAAACGAUGUCUACUAGCCCGUUGGGGCCCUUGAGGCUUUAGUGGCGCAGCUAACGCGAUAAGUAGACCGCCUGGGGAGUACGGUCGCAAGACUAAAACUCAAAUGAAUUGACGGGGGCCCGCACAAGCGGUGGAGCAUGUGGUUUAAUUCGAUGCAACGCGAAGAACCUUACCUGGCCUUGACAUACAGAGAACUUUCCAGAGAUGGAUUGGUGCCUUCGGGAACUCUGAUACAGGUGCUGCAUGGCUGUCGUCAGCUCGUGUCGUGAGAUGUUGGGUUAAGUCCCGCAACGAGCGCAACCCUUUUCCUUAUUUGCCAGCACUUCGGGUGGGAACUUUAAAGGAUACUGCCAGUGACAAACUGGAGGAAGGCGGGGACGACGUCAAGUCAUCAUGGCCCUUACGGCCAGGGCUACACACGUGCUACAAUGGUCGGUACAAAGGGUUGCUACACAGC
rnacentral:rRNA from 2 species